CUGAAACCACCAAGACAGCUUUCUUACUUCCAGAAAUCCCAGCUGAAGAGAGGCAAAGCAGAGCUGCAAGAAGAACCUUCUGUCCAUCCUCACAUUUCCUUCCACUGUGUCCCUGUUCUGGAAGCCAAGGGGAUCUUGGAUCCAAAGCCUGCGCUGCUGUGGACAAGUUGGAAACAGAAUGUUACAUUCAUUGGCCCAGCUCCAUGGCAAACGAAGAUGGAUUCCGAAUUUCUGACAAAAAUGGAAGUGGCCAAAGUGAAAGUUGAAUCAUGAGGUGGAACACACAGUCUGCUCCUAAGCUUCAGCUUCGUCGAGAAGGGCCAGUGAUGCAUUCAAGAGGUAAAGAUGCAGCUCUCACACACACACCC